AGUUCACGCGUGGUAAAGAGGCGUCUAAUUUCGCUAUAGAUGACGUCACUGUGAUAAAAGGAUCAUGUGAUGAGACAGUAACAGCACUGUUUAAAAUGAAGGGCGAAAUUAAUUGCGAUUUUGAAGGUAAUGCAGAUGUUUGUUUUCAACCGAACAAUAAAGGCUUUACUUGGAAGAUUACUCGGGAUGGAUCGACACCCACAAAAGACACGGGGCCAGAUCAAAACAUUGAAGGCAAUUAUUUCUCAUACUUCGAAGCAAAAAGAUUUAAUA